rnacentral:ncRNA from 1 species
GAGAACGGGGGGAGAAAGGGGAAAAGACCCCCAGGGGGGUAGUAAAAAAGAUCGGGAACCCGUGCUGACCCCCCAGGCGGGGGGAGGGGAAAGUGAUCUCUGACCGCGUGCCUGUUGAAGAAUGAGCCGGCGACUCAUAGGCAGUGGCUUGGUUAAGGGAACGGAACCCACCGGAGCCGUAGCGAAAGCGAGUCUUAAUAGGGCGAUUGUCACUGCUUAUGGACCCGAACCUGGGUGAUCUAUCCAU